CGACGCCACACUGUCUGUCACUGUGGCUUUAUGACAAGUCCUGCGUGGUGGAGCCAGCUGUACUAUCAUUCUUCACUGCUUGCACUCUGGCAUGAAUUGUGGACUCGGCUUGUCAAGUUCCACAAAGAUCAGCUCAGUAGACUCCUGGAGGGGAGCUGGCAUCUUGGCUACCCUGAGUCCUCGAGCUGGUUGAUAGGAACGUUCCUCCAACUGUGGUGGUCGUCUUUAAAGCUUCUCAGGAAAGUUUCAUGAAGGUCUCUGGAUGUCUUGGACUCUGUUAGAUAUACUUCUAAAUCUCAACUAUUUAAAAAAUAUUAUUGCAUAUGAGGCUGAGUGAGCUGGCUCUGACCCACCAGAUGUACCGGGCCCUGAGCUGGACCCUGGUGUCCAGAAGUGGACACAGCCCCUGUGGGGCUCCAGCCUGUGGGGUUGGGGGGUGAUGAGGGACUCCUUCAAGAACGGAUGCAGUGCCUGGCAGGGCUGCAGGCUGCUGCCCACAGAGGGGCCUUUGCAGCUGUCCCUGAUGAAGUUGCCUGGGCACACCAGAGUGUGGGAGAGUGGACGGCGCGGCCCCUCCUGCACUUGGAGCUGCUCUCAGAUCUUGGGCUGUGACCCCUGUGGGUGACACGAAGUUCAGUGAUUGUCCUCCUUCUGGACUGAGGGACAUCCAUCCACACGCGCCCCCUCCACAGCCCGAUCCCAUCACGUCCUGCUCGUCCAACAUGGGCCUUAGAUCCUGGGGUCUCUGCUGAGUGCCUCCCCUCUGAACGCCCGGCUGGCACUUUCACGGUGAAGCCAGCUGUCAUGGACACCGACGGCAGGUGGCCUUUCUGCGUUGUCUACCGGCUGAUCUUGAAAGUGAAAACGGACAUUGUCUGCCCUGUGGUGACCGUGUUGGGUGAUGGUCCUGGGGUCAGGCCCUGCAUGCACCUUCACCCAGGGAUGGCUUCUUAGCUGACAGCGGCUCUGCCAGGAACCACGAUCACCCUCCAGUUUGCUCUUUGUGCUGAAUUUUAUUGACAUGAAAUUCGCAUGACGCCAACUUUAUCGUUUUAAAGUGAAUGGUUAAACAGAAUGCGGCACUUUCACAGGGCGGCAUGACCCCCACCUCUGUCUGCCUUCAGAACAUUUUCAUCCCCCACGAAAGGAGGAAGCGCAGUCCCCAGGAACAGUUACUCCUCAUUUCCCCUCCCCAGCUCUGGCUUCCGCAACCACGAAUCUGCUUUCUGUCUCCGUGAAUUUGCCUCUUUCGGAUAUAUUUCACGUAAAUGGAGUCCCGUGAUAGAUGAGCUGUGUCUGCCUCUUGCGGGCAGCACAGUGUCUGGAAGGUUCUCCGUGCAGCCGCAGGGGUUGGCGCUUCCUUCCUCCCGAGGCUGACCCGGCCCCGUCGUACGGGGAGUCCACUGUGUGUCUGUCUUUUGGCUGCUGUGAGCCUGGGUGUGCCGCCUGCUCCAGCCCAUGUUUUCAGCUCUUUCAGGUGUGGAGGGAGGAGUGGAAUUGUGGGAUCAUAUUGUAACUUUAACUUUGGAAGGAUCUGCCAAAUUACCCCUCUAAUUUGUUUUCAAUUUUAUUCUUAUUUCCCUGUCACUUGUUCUUUCUUUUGACUGGUUAAAAAAAAUGGCAAAGGUCUUCAGCAAAACAAGAAGUGAGUUUCAAUUGAACCGUGAAUUAAAUAUGAUACACUCAAAAUCUGACCAAUAAUACAUUUUAAUUUUCCCCACACAUUUACGUCCACGUUAAUUUCAUGGAAAUCAAGAUGCUUUUGCCUCUGUUCUAAAGUAUUUAUUUUUUUUAAGACAGGUUCUUACUCUGUUGCCCAGGCUGGAGUGCAAUGGCGCGAUCUCAGCUCACUGCAGUCUUGACCUCCCAGGCUCAAGCAAUCCUCCUGCCUCAGCCUCCUGAGUAGCUGGGACCACAGGUGUGCAUCACCAUGCCUGGCUAAUUUGUUACAUUUUUAGUAGAGACGGGGUUUCACCAUGUUGGCCAGGCUGGUCUGGAACUCCUGACCUGAAGCGAUCCUCCCACCUCAGCCUCCCACAGUGCUGGGAUUACAGGCGUGAGCCACCACGUGCAGCCUGAAAGUAUUUUUUUUUAGAGUUUCCUAAAAGUUUCAUCAUCCCUUUUGUUUUCCUAACAAGCUGUGAAACCCAGUGGGUUUUAAUUGUGAAUCAGCACCAAAACACAUGCAGAUUUAAUUUUUAAUUGAAAUGAUGGACAAUAAACAGAAUUAAUAACUCAAAUGCUUGAAGUCUGUCAAGCAUGGUGCUUUGUCUUUGCCAUGGACAUGAAAAAGCAGCAUUCCCCUCCGGACUUGAGGCUGGGGACCUUCUGAGUCAGAGCAGCCCCUCCCUCCCCACCUCCACGGCUGUUUCCACUUUGCCAUCUCCCCAGCGGGCUCUGCCCGUCCACCUGUGAGACACUCUGACUCCACGGCUUGGCUUCUGCUUGCCCCAGGCAGUGGGAUUCGGUGGCCAGGCCCUCAUUUGUUUCCCCCUCCUCCUUUCCCCAGCAGCUCCUGGCCUGGCAUGCAGCAGGUGCUCUGCUGGGCGAGUGGGAGGAGGGAGCAUAGCCACCGCUGCAGGUGGUCUGUUUGGUGCUGGGAGACGUCAUGCGUGUGUUGUCAGGCACUGGAACCCCCUGGGAGGGUGCAGGGCAGGUUUAGGACAGCCACGUGUGCCCAGAUCUAUGAGACCUUUGUGGGCUCGACUGAGUUGGGGGCUGGGCACAGAGCUUGGAGACCUCUUACUGGGAGCUGUGUGAGUGGCAGGGCCAAGGCUGUGGGGGCUGCAGGAGCUGGUGAGGAGGCAUGUGCUCGGCCGUCAUGGGACUGUCCCUGGGACUCCUGCAGCUGGGGUAGGCUCCAGGCAGGGCUCUGAGCUGCCCCCACACACCUCCAUGCAACCCCAGCUCCAUGUGCUGCUGGAAAGUCCCUGAGUACCAGGGGGGCACCUGGGGAGGGGCCUGAGUCCUGCAGACAGACCUGGGAUGGGGGUGUCAUCCACAGGUGAGGAGUGGUCCGUGCCAGGGACAGGCAGAGCCGCCAGCAUGGGCCCUGCUGGGAUCUCCGAUUGGGAAAACCAUCCCGCCACGGGAGGUGGCCAAGGUGCGUCCCCCAGCCUAUGCAUUGGGGUCCUGGUUCCAUCCCCGCCUCUCCUGUGGGCCGCACUCAGUGCCUUUUCCAUGUAACCCGUGCCGUGUGCGGUGCUCAGAGGAGGAGCGAUCGUCAUGGGGAGCUGCAGUGCCUUUUCCAUGUAACCCGCGCCGUGUGCGGGGCUCCGAGGAGGAGAGGACGUCACGGGGAGCUGCGGUGCCUUUUCCAUGUAACCCGCGCCGUGUGCGGGGCUCGGAGGAGGAGCGGUCAUCACGGGGAGCUGCAGCGCGUCUGGUGAUGUGGGGCUCACAGGCUCCUAAUGAGGCUCUCAGUCUUGUUUAUUGCGUUCUUGCUGGAAGAUUUUUUUUCUGAAACGUAGGCACAGAAUGAACUUGAAAUAUUGAGCUCUGCUUGAAAUAAAAAUGUCUUGAUAAUUAGAACCUUUGCCUGAACAGAUUCCUGUGGGGCUGCGCUGUGCAGGCUGGUUACGGGUGGGGCUCUGCUGCCCACCGAGUCAUUGCUCAAAGGCAAACGGGUCAAGCCACCGAG
rnacentral:lncRNA from 10 species